UACGUAGGGGGCGAGCGUUAUCCGGAUUUAUUGGGCGUAAAGAGUUCGUAGGCGGUUUGUUAAGUCUGUGAUUUAAGGCUGGGGCUUAACUCCAGUUCGUUGUAGAAACUGGCAAACUUGAGUGUGGUAGAGGCAAACGGAAUUUCUAGUGUAGCGGUUAAAUGCGUAGAUAUUAGAAGGAACACCAGUGGCGAAGGCGGUUUGCUGGGCCAUUACUGACGCUGAGGAACGAAAGCGUGGGGAGCAAAUA
rnacentral:rRNA from 1 species